UCGAGAAUUUUUCACAAUGGGCGCAAGCCUGAUGGAGCGACGCCGCGUGGGGGAUGAAUGGCUUCGGCCCGUAAACCCCUGUCAUUUGCGAUCAACCGUUAUUGUUUAAGAGAUGAUAACCUGAUAGUAGCGAAAGAGGAAGGGACGGCUAACUCUGUGCCAGCAGCCGCGGUAAUACAGAGGUCCCAAGCGUUGUUCGGAUUCACUGGGCGUAAAGGGUGCGUAGGUGGCGAAGUAAGUCGGGUGUGAAAUCCCCGGUGUCAACUCGGAAA
rnacentral:rRNA from 1 species